GACGAACGCUGGCGGCGUGCUUAACACAUGCAAGUCGAACGGUUAACGAGGGCUCUUUCUCCCUCCGGAUCAGUGGCGAACGGGUGAGUAACACGUGAGCAAUCUGCCCCGAACUCUGGGAUAAGCGUUGGAAACGACGUCUAAUACCGGAUACGACGCGGGAGGUCAUCCUCUCCGCGUGGACAGAACUUCGGUUCGGGCUGAGCUCGCGGCCUAUCAGCUUGUUGGUGAGGUCACGGCUCACCAAGGCGACGACGGGUAGCCGGACUGAGAGGGUGACAGGGCACAGGGGGAUAGGGGAAGGGCCAAUACGGCUAAGGGAGGCAGGAGUGGGGAAUAGAGCACAACGGGCGCAAGGCGGAUGCAGCAACGCCGGGUGGGGGACGACGGCCUUCGGGUUGGAAACCUCUUUUAGCAGGGAAGAAGCGAAAGGGACGGUACCUGCAGAAAAAGCACCGGCUAACUACGU
rnacentral:rRNA from 1 species